UACGUAGGGUGCGAGCGUUAAUCGGAAUUACUGGGCGUAAAGCGUGCGUAGGUGGUGAGUUAAGUCUGUCGUGAAAGCCCCGGGCCCAACCUGGGAAUGGCGAUGGAUACUGGCUCGCUAGAGUGCGGUAGAGGAGAGUGGAAUUCCCGGUGUAGCAGUGAAAUGCGUAGAGAUCGGGAGGAACAUCAGUUGCGAAGGCGGCUCUCUGGACCAGCACUGACACUGAGGCACGAAAGCGUGGGGAGCAAACAGG
rnacentral:rRNA from 1 species